UACGUAGGGUGCAAGCGUUAAUCGGAAUUACUGGGCGUAAAGCGUGCGCAGGCGGUUAUGCAAGACAGAUGUGAAAUCCCCGGGCUUAACCUGGGAACCGCAUUUGUGACUGCAUAGCUGGAGUACGGCAGAGGGGGAUGGAAUUCCGCGUGUAGCAGUGAAAUGCGUAGAUAUGCGGAGGAACACCGAUGGCGAAGGCAGUCCCCUGGGCCUGUACUGACGCUCAUGCACGAAAGCGUGGGGGGCAAACAGG
rnacentral:rRNA from 1 species